GCGUUGAGGUGGCUGUUCGGCUUGUGUCACUUGCCGCCGAGUCAGAAUCAUAGUCGCGGCCAUCUUCCGCACGUGUGGAGCCUCCGUCCUUGCGGGUGCAGAAUAUCGGCACUACCUCCGUUCCUUGUUUGGAUUUGCGACCCCCUCCCAUGACUGGUCGGUUGUGUGCCGGGAUAGGGGUGUUGUUGACCGAGUGAUCGUAUAUUUCGCCAGGUUUAGGUAUAUUAGCCUAUUGUUUGCCUGCUGGUACGGAGCUCUAAAAGAAAGCAGCUAUCUGUACCAGAAGUCAGGCGCCGCCCCCUGCUUUUCUGACUUUUUAAAAAUAGGUUCCCUGCUUUUAGAACACAGGGUACAACAAUAUGAUAUAACACCCGCUGCUCUGUCUGCGUUGAGAGGAAACAGGUAGAAAGUUCCAUGUUGCUUCUGGAUUGUGGAGGAUGCAUUCCCCCCAUGCAACUUCCUGGGGUGCUGGAUGCAAAUGUGAGCCCCAAAUAUGCC